rnacentral:rRNA from 1 species
CACGUAGGGGGCAAGCGUUGUCCGGAUUUAUUGGGCGUAAAGAGCUCGUAGGCGGCUUAGUAAGUCGGGUGUGAAACCUCCAGGCUCAACCUGGAGACGCCACCCGAUACUGCUGUGGCUAGAGUCCGGUAGGGGAGCGUGGAAUUCCUGGUGUAGCGGUGAAAUGCGCAGAUAUCAGGAAGAACACCAAUGGCGAAAGCAGCUUUCUGGGACGGUACUGACGCUGAGACGCGAAAGCGUGGGGAGCGAACAGG